GACGAACGCUGGCGGCGUGCUUAACACAUGCAAGUCGAACGAUGAAGCCGGAGCUUGCUCUGGUGGAUUAGUGGCGAACGGGUGAGUAACACGUGAGCAAUCUGCCCUUGACUCUGGGAUAACUGCGGGAAACUGUAGCUAAUACCGGAUACGACACCUUGGGGCAUCCCAGGGUGUGGAAAGAAUUUCGGUCAAGGAUGAGCUCGCGGCCUAUCAGCUAGUUGGUGAGGUAAUGGCUCACCAAGGCGACGACGGGUAGCCGGCCUGAGAGGGUGACCGGCAACACUGGAACUGAGACACGGUCCAGACUCCUACGGGAGGCAGCAGUGGGGAAUAUUGCACAAUGGGCGAAAGCCUGAUGCAGCAACGCCGCGUGAGGGAUGAAGGCCUUCGGGUUGUAAACCUCUUUUAGCAGGGAAGAAGCGAAAGUGACGGUACCUGCAGAAAAAGCACCGGCUAACUACGUGCCAGCAGCCGCCGUAA
rnacentral:rRNA from 1 species